AUUGAACGCUGGCGGCAUGCCUUACACAUGCAAGUCGAACGGCAGCACGGGUGCUUGCACCUGGUGGCGAGUGGCGAACGGGUGAGUAAUACAUCGGAACAUGUCCUGUAGUGGGGGAUAGCCCGGCGAAAGCCGGAUUAAUACCGCAUACGAUCCACGGAUGAAAGCGGGGGACCUUCGGGCCUCGCGCUAUAGGGUUGGCCGAUGGCUGAUUAGCUAGUUGGUGGGGUAAAGGCCUACCAAGGCGACGAUCAGUAGCUGGUCUGAGAGGACGACCAGCCACACUGGGACUGAGACACGGCCCAGACUCCUACGGGAGGCCGCAGUGGGGAAUUUUGGACAAUGGGCGAAAGCCUGAUCCAGCAAUGCCGCGUGUGUGAAGAAGGCCUUCGGGUUGUAAAGCACUUUUGUCCGGAAAGAAAUCCUUGACUCUAAUACAGUCGGGGGAUGACGGUACCGGAAGAAUAAGCACCGGCUAACUACGUG
rnacentral:rRNA from 1 species